GCUUUCAACAUCCCCGUUCCAGGACGGCGAGACCAAAGCGCAAUCCGCGCUGCGAAUGUGUCGUUGCUGGGGCUGAAGGC
rnacentral:sRNA from 21 species